AUACCUGUGGCUGAGAGGUUGAAAGCAGUGAGCUCAUAAUUCAUAUCAUUUUGACAUCAGUGGUUCAAACCCACUCAGGUAUA
rnacentral:tRNA from 1 species